UACGUAGGUGGCAAGCGUUGUCCGGAAUUAUUGGGCGUAAAGCGCGCGCAGGCGGUCCUUUAAGUCUGAUGUGAAAGCCCACGGCUCAACCGUGGAGGGUCAUUGGAAACUGGGGGACUUGAGUGCAGGAGAGAAGAGUGGAAUUCCACGUGUAGCGGUGAAAUGCGUAGAUAUUGGGAGGAACACCAGUAGGCGAAGGCGGCUCACUGGACCGGUUCUGACGCUGAGGCGCGAAAGCGUGGGG
rnacentral:rRNA from 1 species